AUGAAUGCAAGUUGGCUUUCCAAUGCUGACAGGAAUUCUUUGCAGCAAGACGGGAACAGAUGUUUAUUGGGUGCCCCUCAGUGUCGUUCAUGUGCUCAGUGUUUCUUGAUGAAUGAGCUGUCUUCUGUUGGUUUCAGUGUACUUAAGAAGUUGGAGUGGAUUGUUCAAAUUUCUCCAAAGCCGGCAUCUUCGCAUACCCUGGUGAGAACUAUCCUUAUCAUACAUGAGAUAGCCAAGUUUUUGGAAGAACCAGAGUUCAGUAUGCCAAAAGGUUCCAUGAAGUUAAGAAGCUUUUUUGUUCUCUGUGGGCGUUGA
rnacentral:rRNA from 1 species